rnacentral:lncRNA from 1 species
GGGAAAUGUCAAUAAAUGCAAAGGGAAGGAGGGUAGCCAUUUUAUGCAAGUAUCAUGGGUCUAGUAGGAGAGUCCCGAGCCUCUCGAAUGCUCUGGGUUAUUUUGUGUCUUUUCUAUAUCCAAUUUAUUAAAAUUACAGUUUAAUUCUCAGUUCUCUUCCCUGCAUUAAACAAUUUAGUUCCCCAGUUCAGGUUCCUAUCAGAUGGGAAAUGUAUUGAUUAUUAGUGCUACUAAUCGGUAUAUUUCUAUGCACUUACAAUGGAAAAAACUUUCCUUCUACUUGUUAAUGAUUUUAUACACAUUUUCCUCCGGGAUCCCUUGACCUUUAUGACACAUUAAUCUUCAACAAAAAGUGCAUUGUAAACUUGAAUUGUUCCCUUGAAAAUUCUUCUGGUGUCUUUAAUAAGUGAAACUGUAUUACCACAGCAUUCCUCUGUUUAUGUGCAUGAAGUUUGGUCCUGUACAUUGUCAAGAGUAAGCAGUGAAUCUUUUAAUCAGAAAAGUAAUGAUCAAUGUUGUAAUUUGCUUUCUUUAGCUUCUUAUUUCUUUUAUCUGAGCACUUAGGUUUAUUUAAUUGGCAAAUCCUUAAAAAUGGAACAUAGGAAAACACAUUGCACUUCAACUGGGUGCGCGCGCGCGCACACAUAUAUCCUACUUACCACGAAUUACUGCAGACUCAGUUAUGCAAUAAUAUUAUAAUGAUGAAGGGUUAAUGGUGCAGCAAUGUUGGAAUUAGAGUACGGAUUUGUUGGGACUCUGACAACAAUAUAGUGGUUGGAGCCUGAAGUUCAUGUACCCCAUGCUUCUCAUAAGGUUAAUUUUCUGCAUCCUCAUUUAUUUCAUUUGCUUUUUUCUUUUCUUUAAAAUAUAAUCUGCUGUGUGCUAAGAUUCUGUUUAUUUGAGGAUAAAACGAGGUCGAAAAUGCUUGCAAUUUCUUGUUUUAUCAUUCUAGGCACCAUAAGAUCGCAGAGAAAAUAAGAGUUUGGCAAUUUGCAGAUAAAUGCUCCAUUAUUAACUCGUUUACUGAUUCGAGGAAAGUUUUCAAAGAGAUUAUGUAGAUCUUCAAGAAGUUCCAUCUAAAUGAACUCACUAAAUUAUGACCUAAUGAGCGUUUUUAUUAUUUCAUUGUUUUUCCAAACAUUAUCUGUCCUAUUAAUCUACUUCUGACUUAUUUAGGAAGAAAAACAUCACAAAUGGUAUUUGAAAUUGGAUAAAGCAUAUGAGUAGCCAACCCCAAAAAUUAACAAGUCAUAGUCUCUCUCUCUCACUUUUGGACUUGGAAACUUCUGGUGCUUUUUUCUGAAACAGCUUUAAUGCUGAGACCAAAAGGUGGAAUCUUACACCUACCACACUACUUUGUCUAAGAAAGCAGACGGCCUUGACCAUAGAGGUUGGUAAAUGCAAAUAUUAAAGACUUUAUUGAGUCAAUUUUUUUUAUCAUUUGUACUAGUUCAUUAAAUAAGACAAUAAUUAUGAGUAAGUUGUGUAUUAAAAGCAUGAAAAAAUUAUGGGAGCUGCACUAUAAAGUCAGGAUGAAAGAUUAUGCCUUUGUUUGAGCCACAUUAUUUUCAUUAGAAUGCAUUUUUGAAUUGUGUAUUGAUGAGAAAUGUGUGGUUAAAAAUAAAGAAUAGUUUUGAAUUUGAGUGUAAUAUUAUUAUAUUGAAGAAUGUGUGAUUGAAAUGAUAUUUUAAGAAUGUAUUUCUCUAUUAUGUGUCAUAGUUGAGAAAAACGCAAUUAAUAAAAAUUUUCACGAAAUGUAGAAAAAGUACAAGGUUAAACCAUCAUGAUUAUAUAUAAUCAAGGAUUGGAUGAAAGGAAAAUGAUUCAUAUAACCGACACCAAAUUUGUUCAGAGGAAGGGUUUCUAUUGUUGGAUUAAAGAAAAUUACCUGAACCAUCGAUGUGACAACUCUAUAUGCCAUCUAAUCCGAUCAUAAGAUGUUCUUUUUCUCUCUGAUUCUUCUGAUUGUGAGACGUUAUUUGUUUGAGCUUUAGCUUUAGAGCAUGUUUGGCUAAGCAUGAUAGUUUUGCCUUAAGCAAAUAAUUUCAAAAAUAAAUAAAUAUUUCAUUUUUCAUGUAAAACAAUCUGUAGAAUAAUAAAAUACCGUGUUCUGGACUGCAUGGAGAGGAAGAGGGUGAUAGGGAACUGUAAGCAUCAGUAGUAGAAUACGUACGUGAUAUUGGCACGGCUCAAUCAAAUAACUGAGCUCUAAAUAUAAAGAGCACGGCUUUCUAAUUGAACCGCACUAAUAUCCCGUAUGUCUAAAACUGACAGACAUCCAUCACUCCGUUAUCCUCCAUUUCAAUUUGAGGAAGAUUGGAUUCCAAAUGGGAAACAUCACUUGUCAAAGAAUCCAGAACAAAUACCUGUGAAUUCCUGGUUGAGAGGCCUUGUUUUCUUUAUAUGACAAAAGCUUCAACAUGCUGAAUAGAAACUGACGGGAAGAAUAUGACAAUUAUGAAGAUUUAUCUCUAUGAAACCAAUGCAUAGAUAGAGGUAUCUAUAUAUAUAUGUGGGAGAUGAAGAAACAGAAACUGGGAGGUUCGGGGGGGUAAGGGGUGGUGGUUGGAACAGAGUAUGGGUGGUGUGAUUGAGAGAACCAAGCAUUGAAUUUGCCAACCACCCAACUACAAAAAAGAAGGGUAUAUUUACUCAAAAGGUUACUGGAGCAAAUCUUGUGCUUUAGAUAUACAUUUAUGAGGUUGAGGGAAAGGCAUGUUAGUACCAUCACACCUGCAUUUAAUUUUCAAACUGGGAAAAAUUCUUGGUCAGUAAAAUAAGAUUAUGCCCUGAUUUUCCUUCUAAAUUUUCACCAUGUAAAAGAGAUGAUAAGAUUUUAUUUUUCAAGGUCAUUAUUUUGUGGGAGUAUAGCAAAAGCUUCUUCCUGGGUAUCUUGCAGGAUGGUUUUGAAUUUAAUUUUCUCUUUGAAUGCAAAAGUAUAUACAUUGUAUCUUAUAUUGGCUCCACCCUUCUGCUCUGUAAAUAUGUUAAAACCAUUGAGAGUUUACGUAUUGUAUAUUUUGUUUUUAGACAUGAAUUCUUAACUCAUUUUGGACGUGC